CUCUGGGAUAAGCGCUGGAAACGGCGUCUAAUACCGGAUACGAGCUGCGACCGCAUGGUCAGUAGCUGGAAAGAAUUUCGGUCAGGGAUGAGCUCGCGGCCUAUCAGCUUGUUGGUGAGGUAAUGGCUCACCAAGGCGUCGACGGGUAGCCGGCCUGAGAGGGUGACCGGCCACACUGGGACUGAGACACGGCCCAGACUCCUACGGGAGGCAGCAGUGGGGAAUAUUGCACAAUGGGCGCAAGCCUGAUGCAGCAACGCCGCGUGAGGGAUGACGGCCUUCGGGUUGUAAACCUCUUUUAGCAGGGAAGAAGCGAAAGUGACGGUACCUGCAGAAAAAGCGCCGGCUAACUACGUGCCAGCAGCCGCGGUAAUACGUAGGGCGCAAGCGUUAUCCGGAAUUAUUGGGCGU
rnacentral:rRNA from 1 species